GUUUGAUCCUGGCUCGAAUGAACGCUGGCGGCAGGCCUAACACAUGCAAGUCGAACGGAGUUAUAUUGUAGCUUGCUAUGGUAUAACUUAGUGGCAGACGGGUGAGUAAUGUAUAGGAAUCUACCUAGUAGUACGGAAUAAUUGUUGGAAACGGCAACUAAUACCGUAUACGCCCUACGGGGGAAAAAUUUAUUGCUAUUAGAUGAGCCUAUAUUAGAUUAGCUAGUUGGUGGAGUAAUAGCCUGCCAAGGCAAUGAUCUAUAGCUGAUCUGAGAGGAUGAUCAGCCACACUGGAACUGAGAUACGGUCCAGACUCCUACGGGAGGCAGCAGUGGGGAAUAUUGGACAAUGGGCGAAAGCCUGAUCCAGCCAUGCCGCAUGAGUGAAGAAGGCCUUUGGGUUGUAAAGCUCUUUUAGUGAGGAAGAUAAUGACGGUACUCACAGAAGAAGUCCUGGCUAACUCCGUGCCAGCAGCCGCGGUAAUACGGAGAGGGCUAGCGUUAUUCGGAAUUAUUGGGCGUAAAGGGCGCGUAGGCGGAUUAGUAAGUUAAAAGUGAAAUCCCAAGGCUCAACCUUGGAAUUGCUUUUAAAACUGCUAAUCUAGAGAUCGAAAGAGGAUAGAGGAAUUCCUAGUGUAGAGGUGAAAUUCGUAAAUAUUAGGAGGAACACCAGUGGCGAAGGCGUCUAUCUGGUUCAAAUCUGACGCUGAGGCGCGAAGGCGUGGGGAGCAAACAGGAUUAGAUACCCUGGUAGUCCACGCUGUAAACGAUGAAUGUUAAAUAUGGGAAGUUUUACUUUCUGUAUUACAGCUAACGCG
rnacentral:rRNA from 1 species